AGGGGUGUAGCUCAAUUGGCUAGAGCGCCGGUCUCCAAAACCGGAGGUUGGGGGUUCGAGACCUCCCACCCCUGCCA
rnacentral:tRNA from 1 species